UACGUAGGCAGCGAGCGUUGUUCGGAGUUACUGGGCGUAAAGCGCGCGCAGGCGGUCUUCCAAGUCAGUGGUGAAAGCCCGGAGCUCAACUCCGGAACUGCCAUUGAAACUGUUAGACUUGAGGACGAGAGAGGUGAGUGGAAUUCCCAGUGUAGAGGUGAAAUUCGUAGAUAUUGGGAAGAACACCGGUGGCGAAGGCGGCUCACUGGCUCGUAUCUGACGCUCAGGCGCGACAGCGUGGGGAUCAAACAGG
rnacentral:rRNA from 1 species